CCUACGGGAGGCAGCAGUGAGGAAUAUUGGUCAAUGGACGAGAGUCUGAACCAGCCAAGUAGCGUGAAGGAUGACUGCCCUAUGGGUUGUAAACUUCUUUUAUAUGGGAAUAAAAUGUUCCACGUGUGGGAUUUUGUAUGUACCAUAUGAAUAAGGAUCGGCUAACUCCGUGCCAGCAGCCGCGGUAAUACGGAGGAUCCGAGCGUUAUCCGGAUUUAUUGGGUUUAAAGGGCGCGUAGGUGGAUUGUUAAGUCAGUUGUGAAAGUUGGCGGAUCAACCGUAAAAUUGCAGUUGAAACUGGCAGUCUUGAGUACAGUAGAGGUGGGCGGAAUUCGUGGUGUAGCGGUGAAAUGCUUAGAGAUCACGAAGAACUCCGAUUGCGAAGGCAGUUCACUGGACUGCAACUGACACUGAGGCUCGAAAGUGUGGGUAUCAAACAGGAUUAGAUACCCUUGUAGUC
rnacentral:rRNA from 1 species